AUUGAACGCUGGCGGCAGGCCUAACACAUGCAAGUCGAGCGGAUGAAGGGAGCUUGCUCCUGGAUUCAGCGGCGGACGGGUGAGUAAUGCCUAGGAAUCUGCCUGGUAGUGGGGGAUAACGUCCGGAAACGGGCGCUAAUACCGCAUACGUCCUGAGGGAGAAAGUGGGGGAUCUUCGGACCUCACGCUAUCAGAUGAGCCUAGGUCGGAUUAGCUAGUUGGUGGGGUAAAGGCCUACCAAGGCGACGAUCCGUAACUGGUCUGAGAGGAUGAUCAGUCACACUAGAACGGAGACACGGUCCAGACUCCUACGGGAGGCAGCAGUGGGGAAUAUUGGACAAUGGGCGAAAGCCUGAUCCAGCCAUGCCGCGUGUGUGAAGAAGGUCUUCGGAUUUUAGAGCACUUUAAGUUGGGAGGAAGGGCAGUAAGUUAAUACCUUGCUGUUUUGACGUUACCAACAGAAUAAGCACCGGCUAACUUCGUG
rnacentral:rRNA from 1 species